UACGAAGGGGGGCUAGCGUUGUUCGGAAUUACUGGGCGUAAAGGGCGCGUAGGCGGCGUGUCAAGUCAGGCGUGAAAGCCCCGGGCUCAACCUGGGAACCGCGCUUGAGACUGGCAUGCUCGAGUUCGGGAGAGGAUGGUGGAAUUCCCAGUGUAGAGGUGAAAUUCGUAGAUAUUGGGGAAGAACACCGAUGGCGAAGGCAGCCAUCUGGACCGACACUGACGCUGAGGCGCGAAAAGCGUGGGGGAGCAAACAGG
rnacentral:rRNA from 1 species